UUUCCGUAGGUGAACCUGCGGAAGGAUCAUUACUGAGUGAGGGCCCUCUGGUCCACCCUCCCACCCGUGUUUAUUGUACCUUGUUGCUUAGGUGAGCCCGCCUCACGGCCGCCGGGGGGCAUCUGCCCCCGGGCCCGCGCUCGCCGAAGACACUCUUGAACUCUGUCUGAAGUUUGCAGUCGGAUCGAAAACUAAAUAAGUUAAAACUUUCAACAACGGAUCUCUUGGUUCCG
rnacentral:misc_RNA from 1 species